rnacentral:tRNA from 1 species
GGAGAAGUACCCAAGAGGCCGAAGGGGCUCCCCUGCUAAGGGAGUAGGGUGCGUUGAGUGCCGCCCGGGUUCAAAUCCCGGCUUCUCCGCCA